AACCUAGCACACCUGCGGUGUGUACCUGCGGAGGGAUCAUUAACAAGCUGUGGGAGAUCGAUCAAUUUGAUCUCACACCUGGCCAACCUUGUUAACCUUAAAUAUAUUGCUUUGGUGAGCCCUGCUCACCAAAGUCAAACCCUAAACUCUUGAUUGUUUCUGCUGUCUGAGCAUGCAAGUGCAAAAUUUAGUUAAAAACUUUCAGCAACGGAUCU
rnacentral:misc_RNA from 1 species